rnacentral:rRNA from 1 species
UCCUCCCUCUGGCGGCGUGCUUAACACAUGCAAGUCGAACGGAAAGGCCUCUUUCGGGGGGUACUCGAGUGGCGAACGGGUGAGUAACACGGGAGUAACCGGCCCUUGACUUUGGGAUAACUUCAGGAAACUGGGGCUAAUACCGGAUAGGAGCUCCUGCUGCAUGGUGGGGGUGGGAAAGUUUCGGCGGUUGGGGAUGGACUCGCGGCUUAUCAGCUUGUUGGUGGGGUAGUGGCUUACCAAGGCUUUGACGGGUAGCCGGCCUGAGAGGGUGACCGGCCACAUUGGGACUGAGAUACGGCCCAGACUCCUACGGGAGGCAGCAGUGGGGAAUAUUGCACAAUGGGUGGAAGCCUGAUGCAGCAACGCCGUGUGCGGGAUGACGGCCUUCGGGUUGUAAACCGCUUUCGCUCAUGACGAAGCUUUGUGUGACGGUAGUGGGUAAAGAAGCACCGGCUAACUACGUG